UAUAGUACCGAAGUUCCUGAUUCCACACUGCCAAGAAAAGCCUCUAGCGAGGCGGGAGGUGCCCGUACCGCAAACCGACACAGGUAGGCGAGGAGAGAAUCCUAAGGUGAUCGAGAGAACUCUCGUUAAGGAACUCGGCAAAAUGACCCCGUAACUUCGGGAGAAGGGGUGCUCUGGUAGGGUGUAUAGCCCGAGAGAGCCGCAGUGAAUAGGCCCAGGCGACUGUUUAGCAAAAACACAGGUCUCUGCGAAGCCGCAAGGCGAAGUAUAGGGGCUGACGCCUGCCCGGUGCUGGAAGGUUAAGAGGAGGGGUUAUCCUUUGGGAGAAGCUCUGAAUCGAAGCCCCAGUAAACGGCGGCCGUAACUAUAACGGUCCUAAGGUAGCGAAAUUCCUUGUCGGGUAAGUUCCGACCCGCACGAAAGGCGUAACGAUCUGGGCACUGUCUCAACGAGAGACUCGGUGAAAUUAUAGUACCUGUGAAGAUGCAGGUUACCCGCGACAGGACGGAAAGACCCCGUGGAGCUUUACUGUAGCCUGAUAUUGAAUUUUGGUACAGCUUGUACAGGAUAGGUAGGAGCCUGAGAAGCCGGAGCGCUAGCUUCGGUGGAGGCGUCGGUGGGAUACUACCCUGGCUGUAUUGAAAUUCUAACCCGCGGCCCUGAUCGGGCCGGGAGACAGUGUCAGGUGGGCAGUUUGACUGGGGCGGUCGCCUCCUAAAAUGUAACGGAGGCGCCCAAAGGUUCCCUCAGAAUGGUUGGAAAUCAUUCGUAGAGUGUAAAGGCACAAGGGAGCUUGACUGCGAGACCUACAAGUCGAGCAGGGACGAAAGUCGGGCUUAGUGAUCCGGUGGUUCCGCAUGGAAGGGCCAUCGCUCAACGGAUAAAAGCUACCCCGGGGAUAACAGGCUUAUCUCCCCCAAGAGUCCACAUCGACGGGGAGGUUUGGCACCUCGAUGUCGGCUCAUCGCAUCCUGGGGCUGUAGUCGGUCCCAAGGGUUGGGCUGUUCGCCCAUUAAAGCGGUACGCGAGCUGGGUUCAGAACGUCGUGAGACAGUUCGGUCCCUAUCCGUCGUGGGCGUAGGAAAUUUGAGAGGAGCUGUCCUUAGUACGAGAGGACCGGGAUGGACACACCGCUGGUGUACCAGUUGUCUUGCCAAAGGCAUCGCUGGGUAGCUAUGUGUGGACGGGAUAAGUGCUGAAAGCAUCUAAGCAUGAAGCCCCCCUCAAGAUGAGAUUUCCCAUAGCGCAAGCUAGUAAGAUCCCUGAAAGAUGAUCAGGUUGAUAGGUCAGAGGUGGAAGCGUGGCGACAUGUGUAGCUGACUGAUACUAAUCGAUCGAGGACUUAACCA
rnacentral:rRNA from 1 species